GUUUAAAUAGCUUAUAUUUAGAGCAUAACAUUGAAGCUGUUACAGAGAUUAUUGUAAUCUUUAAACA
rnacentral:tRNA from 1 species